rnacentral:pre_miRNA from 1 species
GGCCCAAUUCUGAAGUAAAGUAGAAUAGUAGGAUCAGCUGAGCUUACUAAUCUACCAUACUUCAGAUUUGAGUCC